rnacentral:rRNA from 1 species
AGGCGACGAUCCCUAGCUGGUCUGAGAGGAUGACCAGCCACACUGGAACUGAGACACGGUCCAGACUCCUACGGGAGGCAGCAGUGGGGAAUAUUGCACAAUGGGCGCAAGCCUGAUGCAGCCAUGCCGCGUGUGUGAAGAAGGCCUUCGGGUUGUAAAGCACUUUCAGCGGGGAGGAAGGCGGUGAGGUUAAUAACCUCACCGAUUGACGUUACCCGCAGAAGAAGCACCGGCUAACUCCGUGCCAGCAGCCGCGGUAAUACGGAGGGUGCAAGCGUUAAUCGGAAUUACUGGGCGUAAAGCGCACGCAGGCGGUCUGUCAAGUCGGAUGUGAAAUCCCCGG